rnacentral:rRNA from 1 species
AUUGAACGCUGGCGGCAUGUCUUACACAUGCAAGUCGAGCGGCAGCACGGGGCAACCUGGUGGCGAGUGGCGAACGGGUGAGUAAUGCAUCGGAACGUACCUUUCAGUGGGGGAUAACGUAGCGAAAGUUACGCUAAUACCGCAUAUUCUGUGAGCAGGAAAGCAGGGGAUCGCAAGACCUUGCGCUGAUUGAGCGGCCGAUGUCAGAUUAGCUAGUUGGUGAGGUAAAGGCUCACCAAGGCGACGAUCUGUAGCGGGUCUGAGAGGAUGAUCCGCCACACUGGAACUGGGACACGGGCCAGACUCCUACGGGAGGCAGCAGUGGGGAAUUUUGGACAAUGGGGGCAACCCUGAUCCAGCCAUGCCGCGUGAGUGAAGAAGGCCUUCGGGUUGUAAAGCUCUUUCGGCCGGGAAGAAAUCGCACGGGCUAAUACCCUGUGUGGAUGACGGUACCGGAAUAAGAGGCACCGGCUAACUACGUGCCAGCCGCCGCCGUAAGAC